GACGAACGCUGGCGGCGUGCUUAACACAUGCAAGUCGAACGGAAAGGCCCUGCUUUUGUGGGGUGCUCGAGUGGCGAACGGGUGAGUAACACGUGAGUAACCUGCCCUUGACUUUGGGAUAACUUCAGGAAACUGGGGCUAAUACCGGAUAGGAGCUCCUGCUGCAUGGUGGGGGUUGGAAAGUUUCGGCGGUUGGGGAUGGACUCGCGGCUUAUCAGCUUGUUGGUGGGGUAGUGGCUUACCAAGGCUUUGACGGGUAGCCGGCCUGAGAGGGUGACCGGCCACAUUGGGACUGAGAGACGGCCCAGACGCCUACGGGAGGCAGCAGUGGGGAAUAUGGCACAAUGGGCGGAAGCCUGAUGCAGCAACGCCGCGUGCGGGAUGACGGCCUUCGGGUUGUAAACCGCUGUCGCCUGUGACGAAGCGUGAGUGACGGUAAUGGGUAAAGAAGCACCGGCUAACUACGUG
rnacentral:rRNA from 1 species